CUCACUGGAGAAAUACCAGCAAGAGAUUCUCAGGAGCUCCAAACAACCAAACAGCCUUUACUGUCAACUUUAGAAAAUCAAAGAAACUUUGGCAAAUGGUUUAUCACAACAUUGUAGUGGUUUUGCUUUGUUAAUGCUUUUUUACAGCUUAUUGAUGGGUCAUGUCAACUUCUGAGGUAUUGUUUUAAAGGUCUCCACAUGCUGCAAGUGGUUUCCAACUGUGACCUCCUGUCCAAUGGAGCAUCCAUGGAUGCCACCAGUAUGGCUACAAGGGCUGGGAUUUCAUCUCCUUCCAGCUGGGAUCCAGGAGCUUUGCAGUGUCCGAUGGUGCCACCUGGAUCAGACAGAGGUGCUGGGAAUCCAAAGGGAUCAUGGUGGAGCAGACGAAGCAUUACCUGGGACACACCUGGGUGG